rnacentral:rRNA from 1 species
GAUGAACGCUGGCGGCGUGCCUAAUACAUGCAAGUCGAGCGAACAGACGAGGAGCUUUCUCUUCUGACGUUAGCGGCGGACGGGUGGGUAACACGUGGAUAACCUACCUAUAAGACUGGGAUAACUUCGGGAAACCGGAGCUAAUACCGGAUAAUAUAUUGAACCGCAUGGAUCAAUAGUUAAUCGCGCCUUUCCUGUCAGUUUUAGCUGAUUCCGCGCCGGAUUAGCUAGUUGGUAAGGUAACGGCUUACCAAGGCAACGAUGCGUAGCCGACCUGAGAGGGUGAUCGGCCACACUGGAACUGAGACACGGUCCAGACUCCUACGGGAGGCAGCAGUAGGGAAUCUUCGGCAAUGGGCGAAAGCCUGACGGAGCAACGCCGCGUGAGUGAUGAAGGUCUUCGGAUCGUAAAACACUGUUAUUAGGGAAGAACAAAUGUGUAAGUAACUAUGCACGUCUUGACGGUACCUAAUCAGAAAGCCACGGCUAACUACGUG